rnacentral:rRNA from 1 species
UGGGGAAUCUUGCGCAAUGGGCGAAAGCCUGACGCAGCAACGCCGCGUGGAGGAUGAAGGUCCUUGGAUUGUAAACUCCUGUCGAGCGGGAAGAAAGGCUCGGGGCUAAUACCCCCGGGAUUUGACUGUACCGCCAGAGGAAGCCCCGGCUAACUCCGUGCCAGCAGCCGCGGUAAUACGGAGGGGGCGAGCGUUAUUCGGAAUUAUUGGGCGUAAAGGGCGCGUAGGCGGCCUGGUCAGUCGAAGGUGAAAUCCCCGAGCUCAACUUGGGAACUGCCUUCGAUACUGCCGGGCUUGAGUCCGGGAGGGGAGAGUGGAAUUCCCAGUGUAGCGGUGAAAUGCGUAGAUAUUGGGAGGAACACCGGUGGCGAAGGCGGCUCUCUGGACCGGUUCUGACGCUGAGGCGCGAAAGCGUGGGUAGCAAACAGG